UAAAUCCCAGUAUUGUUAUUAUUUAAUAUUUUCAGUGAUAUCUUCAGAAGCCGGUGGGAAAUCAUCGUCUAAACGUCGCCAUUCAUUUACUCGCCGGGGACAUCAUUCUAUCUCCGAUAUCUGGCGCUUAAUUUGUUCCCGACCAUCUGCUUCGCUACGAACGCCGCCAUCUUGCUUUUCUUGUUUUUUAUUUAAUCUGUAACAAAUAAAAAAAAUAUGUUUUCAUUGUGUA